CGGCGGACGGGUGAGUAACGCGUGGGUAACCUGCCCUAUACACACGGAUAACAUACCGAAAGGUAUGCUAAUACGAGAUAACAUAAGAGAUUCGCAUGGAUUUCUUAUCAAAGCUUUUGCGGUAUAGGAUGGACCCGCGUCUGAUUAGCUAGUUGGUAAGGUAACGGCUUACCAAGGCGACGAUCAGUAGCCGACCUGAGAGGGUGAUCGGCCACAUUGGAACUGAGACACGGUCCAAACUCCUACGGGAGGCAGCAGUGGGGAAUAUUGCACAAUGGGCGAAAGCCUGACGCAGCAACGCCGCGUGAGCGAUGAAGGCCUUCGGGUCGUAAAGCUCUGUCCUCAAGGAAGAUAAUGACGGUACUUGAGGAGGAAGCCCCGGCUAACUACGUGCCAGCAGCCGCGGUAAUACGUAGGGGGCUAGCGUUAUCCGGAAUUACUGGGCGUAAAGGGUGCGUAGGUGGUUUCUUAAGUCAGAGGUG
rnacentral:rRNA from 1 species